CUUGAUCGAACCGAGCCAGAGCGGCUGGUCGGCGGGCCGCUCCCGGCCGUAGGUGGCGAGCAGGGCCUGCGCCUC
rnacentral:antisense_RNA from 1 species